UGGCGGACGGGUGAGUAAUGUCUGGGAAACUGCCUGAUGGAGGGGGAUAACUACUGGAAACGGUAGCUAAUACCGCAUAACGUCGCAAGACCAAAGAGGGGGACCUUCGGGCCUCUUGCCAUCAGAUGUGCCCAGAUGGGAUUAGCUAGUAGGUGGGGUAACGGCUCACCUAGGCGACGAUCCCUAGCUGGUCUGAGAGGAUGACCAGCCACACUGGAACUGAGACACGGUCCAGACUCCUACGGGAGGCAGCAGUGGGGAAUAUUGCACAAUGGGCGCAAGCCUGAUGCAGCCAUGCCGCGCGUAUGAAGAAGGCCUUCGGGUUGUAAAGUACUUUCAGCGGGGAGGAAGGGAGUAAAGUUAAUACCUUUGCUCGUUGACGUUACCCGCAGAAGAAGCACCGGCUAACUCCAUGCCAGCAGCCGCGGUAAU
rnacentral:rRNA from 1 species